rnacentral:rRNA from 1 species
UACAGAGGUCUCAAGCGUUGUUCGGAUUCAUUGGGCGUAAAGGGUGCGUAGGUGGCGCGCUAAGUCAGGUGUGAAAUUUCGGAGCUUAACUCCGAAACUGCAUUUGAUACUGGCGUGCUUUGAGGACUGGAGAGGAGACUGGAAUUCAUGGUGUAGCAGUGAAAUGCGUAGAGAUCAUGAGGAAGACCAGUGGCGAAGGCGGGUCUCUGGACAGUUCCUGACGCUGAGGCACGAAGGCCAGGGGAGCAAACGGG